rnacentral:rRNA from 1 species
UUAUAUAAUUUGGACUGCUCAUAUGAGAAUUUUUGGUCUGCUCACGUACGACAGCCGACGGCGGUGCGUUACACAUGCAAGUCGACUGUAAGACCGUCGGGGUGCUCAGAGCAGCGAACGGGUGAGUCACGCGUGGGUGAUCUGCCCUGGAAUUCGGGAUAAGCAUUCGGAAACUGGGUCUAAUACCGAGAUAUGACGGUCGGCUGCAUGGCUGAGGGUGGAAAGGUUUUCUGUUGCAGGAUGGACUCGCGGCGUAUCAGCUUGUUGGUGGGGUAAUGGCCUAACAAGUCGAAGAGGGGUAUCCGUCCUGAGAGGGUGGCGGCCCACUCCGGGAUUGUGACACGGGCCAGACUCGUGCGUGAGGCAGCAGUGGGGAAUAUUGCACAAUGGCAGAAAGCCUGAUGCAGGGACGUCGUGUGAGGGAAAACCGCCUUCGGGUUGUAAACAUCUCUCAGCAGUGAUGAAGUGAAAGUGACGGUACCUGCAGAAGAAGCACCGGCCAAAUAUGUGCCAGCAGCCGCGGUAAUACGUAGGGGGCAAGCGUUGUCCUGAAAUACUGGGGGUAAAGAGCUCGUAGGCGGUUUUUCGUGUCGUCUGUGAAAACUCGAGGGUCAACCUCGAGGUUGCAGGCGAUACGGGCAGACUUGAGUAUUGCAGGGGAGACUGGAAUUCCUGGUGUAGCGGUGAAAAGCGCAGAUAUCAGGAGGAACACCGCUGGGGAAGGCGGGUCUCCGGGCAGUAACUGACGCUGAGGAGCGAAAGAGUGGGUAGAGAACACGAUUAGAUAUCCCGGUAGAGCACGCCGUAAACGGUGGGCGCUAGGUGUGGGUUGCCUUCCACAGGAUCCGUGCCGUAGCUAACGCAUAAGCUCCCCGCCUGGAACGCCU